GUGGCGCGGAAGCGUCCGUAGUACUAUGGAAAUACUCUCCUCCAGGACACCGGAGGAGGUUGGCGUUUGUUAAGCAUUUCACGGCGGCCAGGAUCCGGCCGCUUACCCUUAGCUGCGUCAGUCAACUGUCCGCCCAAUCUGCCAACCGUUCGUUAACCUCCGAGUCAGAACAUUCUACAAAGCGGCCACCGUAGCUGGGAUCAUGCGUCUCUCAAUGUCAAUGUUAAAGGUUUCACGGGGGGUUUUUUGGUGUAGUAUUUAAGGCGGUAAUUAGAAACAAGAAAAUUUAUGUAAGUUAUAACUCUGGCUUCCGUGACAGGGAAGUAGAGUGCAAGAAUUGAGAGGGUCGGAAAGGAAAAGGGACAUGCUGGCUUUAUGUUUAAGAUCCUCGCAAUUUCUGAAAGACGUGACGGUACAAUAUGUGUUUGUUCUUUCGGAGAAUUGAAAGGUAUUGCGGGAUUACGCAGUAAAUAAAGUUCUCGCGAAUUCUGAGCGUAGGUACGGGAUAGAUAAGAUCACGCGAGGUUAUGACUAAACGAACGCGACUUUGCCAGGCAGUAGCAACGGUAGUUGGGGUUACAAGAGGAAGACGCACGACCUACGUGGUGACGUGAAGCAGUGCAAGCAGACAUUUUACAACGGUGCCCCAGCUUUGUAGUUCUGGGGCUGUAGUUCCCUUUGGGAAGUGUAAUAAUAGCAUAGUAUAGAUUUGCAGUGGGAGUCUCCGAGCUUCAAGCAUGAGUCAUGUGGCGGUGGAAAAUGCGGUCGGGCUGGAUCAGCAGUUUGCUGGUCUAGACCUGAACUCCUCCGAUAAUCAGAGUGGAGGAGGAAGUACAGCAAGCAAAGGGCGUUAUAUACCUCCUCAUUUACGGAACAAAGAAGCUUCUUCCAAAGGAUUCCAUGAUAAGGACAGUUCGGGAUGGAGUUCUAAUAGAGAUAAGGAUGCAUA